CUCCUGGGCCCUCGGCGGGGGCGGUUCCGGCUCCUGUGGGAGCCCCGCGCCCUCAGCCUGUUGUGCGCGGAGUUGGGGCUCCGGCCUGCGGCGGGUGCGCCGGGCGGGGCAGGGGCGAGGGCAGCGGGGCGGAGGAGAGGCAGGUCGGCAGGGGGCCGCGGGGUUCCUGCCCCGUUGGCUAAACUUCGUGCGUCUGCCGUGCGGCCCUGGGCACCCGUUUCACCGGGCUGAGUAACUCGUGCGCUCCCCGCCUCUGCGCCGCCGCCUGGGCUGCCGAGUCGAGCAGGCCGCCGGCCGUAAACCCCCAGGAACCCUCCUGCCCCACAGCAGCCCAGGCGCGGGUGGGCAGGGUCACCGGAGUCCCUGUGACUGGGAACGUCAAACCCGGGAAGGCCCCGUCCCGGAAAAUGGGCCCCUCACUCUGGCGCACCCGGGACGUCCCCUGGGGCUGGCCCUGUGCCUGAGAGGAAGACACUCAGAGGCAUGGGGUGUCGCUUUCCCGUACUGCUCCUGCCAUCCUGUCCAGUGGCUUCCCUGCCUCGACUGCCCUGCAACUCCAGGCUGGACUCGCCAGGGAGGAAGAGAGGGCCUGGCCGGGUACCCCGAGCCCUGCCCUGCCUGGGGUUUGGGAGCCGUGAGGGGCGGGGCGGAGGGGUGGGGAGACUGAAGGAGCUUCCGGAAGGAUGUUAAUUGUUGGCGGAGACAGCAGCUGGAUGUGUGAAGGGUUUGUGGUUUGUGAAGCUAACACAGCUGACAAUGACGGAAACCGCUGUGUGUCCCCACUUCUGCCUGGCCGCCUCCGUGCAGCCUGGGGUUCAGGUUGGUCGCCUGGCUGGCCAUCAGCAUCCAGGGAGCUGCAGGGACCCGGUGAGACUGGGAGGAGAGGGAGCCUGCAGGAAAGGGGGCUCGGCACGUCCCCUGAGCACACGAGACCCGCUCACAGGCCGGCGCGGCAGGGUGACUGGGGCACGGUCUCAAGUUGGUCACAUCUGAGACUCCCUCUCUGACUUUGUGUGAGGGAGACCUUGGCGGGCGCCAGGCUGGACACCCUCCUUGCAGGAGCUCUGGGUCCUCCCACGCCCCCAGGGGUGGGCACUCCUGCCCAUUUUGCAGAUCAGAGAAGUCGCUGGGGGAGGCUGAGGCCACAGGCUCCCAAGUGGUGGAUUUGGGACUCAGACCUCCAGCCGUGGUGCUGGUGUGUGUGGAGGGAGAAGGAAAGCUGGGCUGUUGGUGACUUACUGCUGCCCUGCCUGGUGUGGGGCUGCAGGGCUCCUGUGUGGCCUGCCUGUCCCCUUUCCCUGUUAACACUUUGCACACUGGUAUGCACACAUGCCCAGGGCUGGGCUCUUCCAGAGGGUCCCUUCUGGAACAGGACGCUCAGCCCUGUCUCUGCCCCACUCUGACCUAGCAGGGCCCUGGCUGGGGCCGCGAACAGGACAGGUCCCUGUCCCUGACAUCCUGGGAGGGUCCUGGGAUGGCACAAGUACAGCCCAGGCUGCAGGGUGGCUGUGCUGGAGCCCCUGUCAUCUGGCUUCUGCGGCUGCCGUGCUGCACAUGGACUGAAGGACAAAGGCGGAAGCAGGUCAGACAGGAGACGACUGUGGUAACCCAGGGGGAGUGGAGGUGGGGACAGGUGCUCAGACCUUAGAUGUGUCUCUGCAGGUAGAACCAGGGCAGCUUCACAGGCACGUGACGGUGCUGUCACACGAGGUCCUUUGUCAGAAAAGCUAUGCUUGGCACAUGCUCUGCUGUCACAUCUUGAAACCUUUCUGUUCCCAGCUUUGUUGAGACGUGGUUGACAUAGAACACGUGUGAGUCUAAGGUGAACAGUGUGACAGUUUGAGCCACAUGUACGUUGCAGGACGGCUACCACAGCAAGGUUAGUUCACCCCUCCAUCACCUCGCAUUUUUUUGUGGUGAGAACAUUUCAGAUCUACUCUUAGCAACUUUCAAGUAUUUAAUACAGUGUUCUUAACUAUAUAUAACUAUAGUCAGCAUGCUGUGCAUUGUGUCCCCAGAACUUAUUUAUGUUAUAACUGAACGUUAGUACACUUUGUCCAACAUCUCUUUCUCCUCACUCCCAGCCCCUGCCAACCACAGUUCUCCUCGGUUUCUGUGAGUUUGGUCUUUUAGAUUCCACAUAGAGGUGAGAUUAUACAGUAUUUGUCAUUCUCUGACUUGUUACACGUAGCGUAAGGUUCAUCCUUGUUGUUGAAAAUGGCAGGAUUUUCUUCUUUAUCGUGGCUGAAUAAUACUUCAUGUUGUUAUACACUCCAUCCUCCAUAUGCGUUCUUCUGUCGGUGGACCCUUAGCUUCUUUCCAUGUCUUAACUAUUGUGGAUAACUCCGUGAUGGACAUGAGUGCAGCUGUCUCUGAGGCCCUGCGUUUCCUCACAUGUGUGCCCAGAGCGGGGCUGCUGGCUUAGGUAGUAGGUCUCCUUUUAAUUGUUCUAAACUGCAGUGUGUUGAUUUGACCCAUAUAUAUACUGCAGUAUGAUUACCACCACAGCUGUAGCUGACACCUCUAUGAUGUCGUAUAAUUACAAUCUCUUUGUGGUGAGAACAUUUAAGAACCAGUUUCUUAGUCACUUUUAAGUAUAUAAUACAGUAUUGUUGUCUGUAAUCACUGGGCUGAGCAUUAGAUUCCCAGAACUUCCUCAUCUUCUAAUUGCAAGUUGGUGCCCUUUAACAGCAUUUCCCCAACUCCCCCGCCUCUUAGCCCCUGGUAACCAGCAUACUAUUCUGUUUCUGUAAGUUUGGGUUUUUUAGAUUCUACAUGUAAGUGAUAUGAUACAGUAUUCAUCUUUGUCUGGCUUAUCUCACUGAGCAUAAUGGCAUAAGUUCAUAUGUGUAUAUACGACAUCUUCUUUAUCCAUUCAUCCGUCGAUGGGCACUAGGUGGUCUCCGUGUCUUGGCUGUUGUGGGCAGUGCUCCGUCACUGCCAGGAUCCCUCAUGUUGCCCUUUUGUUCUCUCACCCUCCCUUCCUGCCCCGUCACCUCUGGCAGCAUUUCAUCUGCUUCCUGUCUCUAUAUUUUGUUGUUUCAGGAAUGUUAUGUGGACGGGAUCAAGUAGUGCAUAACCUUUCUGCAUUGUCCAUCUUCAUGCUGGGAUCCGUCCCAGCUCUGCCUGUGUCCCUGGGGGACCCCUUCCUGCUGCUGUGUAGCGUUCUGUGGUGUGGAUGGACCACAGUUUGUCACAUGUCCUCUUGCUUGUGUCCAGUGUUUUGUCUGACAAAUAGAGUGGCUGUGAGCACUUGUGUAGAGGCUUUUGUGUGAACAUAGGUCAUUUCUCAGGACUAGAUGCUCAGGAGUGCGGUUGCUGGUUCGUAUGGUAGUUGUAUGUUCAGUUUUAUAAGAAACUGCCAAACCCUUUCCAGAGUGGCGGCACCAUUCUGCACUCCCGCCGCCUUCUCCCUAGCAUUGGUGUCACGCUGUUCUGUUCAUGCUGAGCUUGGGGGUGUGGUGUGGAAGCGCAUCGUGGUUUUACUCCAUGUGUCUCCAGUGCUGAUGACGUGGACCUGGUCACGUGCUUUCUGCCGUGUGCGCGUCUCGUCAGGGGAGGUGCCCUCUCAGCCCCUGCCGUCUUCUGGUUGAAUUGUUGGAUCCUGUUGAGUUGCGAAUGUUCUGUGCAUGUUCUAGAUGCCUCUUCUCCGUCGGUAUGUGGUUCGCAAAUGUUCUUCCAGGUCAGUAGCUGUCUUUCCGUCCUCUUCCCAGCAUCUUUGUCAUGGUGCAAAUGCUUAUGUUUUACUGCGGUCCAGCUGAGAGACUUUCCUCUUAGGGCUGGUGCUUUUGGUGUCAACUCCAAGAAGUCUCUGUCUAAUCACAGGUCUCGUUUUUCUCCGAUGGUUUUUCCUAGAAGUUUUAUAGGUUCCUGUUGAUGCUCUGAUGGGGCUCUCACCCACAGAAGGGAUGCAGUGAUCAUGACCACGGAUCUGAUCAGACUCCAGCUCUGUAGCAAGGCUGUGAGAGGAGGAUGUCUGUCCAGCCUCUCCAAGCACACCUCAGAGAAGCCACGUUCUGAGCUCCUCAGGGCCGUCGGGGAGCUGGGCCGCCACAUCCCAACCGGAACAGAAGUAGCCGUGAAAGUCAUCCCAAAGGAGGAGCAGAUCUUCUCCAGAGCGAGGGCACCUUUCUGCAAAGUCCACAGCCUGAAGGCCUUGCGUCACCCGAACAUCACCCAACACCCAGCCGUCAGGUUGUUUGAAGUGAUUGACACUGAGAAGAUGUUGUAUCUCACCGAGCACGUCCGCGGGGGAGACCUGUACCAUCACCUGACAAGCAUGGCCCUAUGACUGAGGAGGAGGCCCAGGGAAUGUUCCGGCAGCUGCCCUCGGCCCUCCAGUGCUGCCACCGCAAGGGCAUCGUGCACGGGGACCUGACGCUGGGACAGUGCUGCUUGACACUGGGCUCGGCAUGAAGCUGGCAGACGUGCUGCUCAUCACCAUGUUCCUGGGCCACAGGCUGAGCACGGGCCGCAGCAGCCCCUGGGGCACGGCCUGGAGGUCCUCCAGGGCGAGGACUAGGAGGGGCCCCUGGCAGACGUCUGGAGCCCUGGCGUGCCGCUCUACGCCGUGCUCUCCGGCUCCCUGCCCUUCCCGGGGAACAACUCCAGGUGGUACCCACCCGCCAUGCCCCUGCUGUGCGAGGACAGGAGGUUCCUGCAAAAACUGAUGACCUCGACCCCAGCACGAGGAGCUUGAGAGACAUCCUGAAGGACCAUAUGUGCUGGGUCACUAUGGGAGACCCAGGCCUUACAGGGAGCUGCCCUGCGACAGCGGGGCCCCUGAGUGACACACGUCAUGAAGAACAUGGGCUUUGGGAGGGACGACGUCCAAGAUUCCUUACGAAGAAGGGGAUACGAUGACACCAGGGCAACCUCCCUCACCCUGAGCGCCCAGAAGCCCCAGGUGGAGGGCCACACUGUCCGCGUAGACCUUACAUCCCUCCCAUUGACCCCACGGCCGCAGUUUCUUCCCGACCUGCAUGGUGCAGCUGGAGGUCUCUGGGUCCCAGUGAGACGCAGACACAGGGAGCCUGUUGUCCCCGCCUGGCUCCGCGAGGCGGAGGAUCAGUGGCCUGGGGAGAACGGAGAGCCGGGGCCAAAGGCCAAAGGCCUGCCUGCCCCCUGCCUGGCCUGGAGUCAAGGACUGACCGCCACCCCAGCCCAAACCCCCAGCCUGGCCCCGGGGCCUCCGCCUCCACCCGCAGCACCAGCAGCAGCAGUGGGGCUGGGGAACCAGCUACCCCAGGGUGUGUCCUGUGGGGAUGCUUCCCACACUCUGGGCAGCCUGAUGGGGCCUCUGGCCUCUCAGUCCAGCCCCAGCCAGACCGGCAGGUGGCGGGGGGCCAUUGGGGGACCAGUAGGGGACGCUGGGAGAUUCUUCAGCUUGAUAAGACACUUGUGUUCCUGUCUCCCCAGCAAGAAAAGGAUUUAAUGUAAUUUGACUAUUCACCUUGUCAAAGAUGCUGUGAAAGUGCCCAUAGCUCACUAGUUCUUCAUUUGUUUACGCUGAGUGUCUGCAAAGUGUUUGAGGGCUGGUUUAAAAUAGGAUGUAUUAAGGGAAAAUUGGAGGUUCAGUGAGGCCAACAGACCAGGAGACGACGCCAUUGACAAGAUGGUUUGUUACUCACAGUUCCCAAGGAGGGGGCACACCACACCACGCAGGGCCACACAGGCCACACGGGAAGCUCCAGGGUGGCCAGGAGGCAGAGGGAGCAGGGGCUGUGGGUUCUGCGGGAAGGAACAGUAAGGCGGGCGAGCAGGCUCAGGACUGGCUGGUCUGAAUAACUGCACAGGCUCUGGGGCCUGGGCCUGUCCCAGGUGUCUGGUGCCCACCUGGGUGACAAGGGCAGGGGGACAGUGGCCUGGAUGUGCAUGUUCAAUAGAGGGGGUGCUUGGGGUGUGGACGGACACUGGAUUGGUUGGUGUGUAUUUGAAAAGUGGGCCCAAGAAGGAGCAUUGUUCCUGGCAACAAGGGAGGCAGGAGGCCAAGAGGAGGGGAUUCAGGACAGGAUUGCGUAGGCACGCAGGACGGAUGUUAAAACACCAGGUUCACAGAAGAUGGAAACAUGCUCCAGACAAGGGCUCAGCUGGAAUGUCUCCUCCUCAGAGGAGCCUUCCCUGCCUCCUCCAUCCACAGUGACAGCUUCCACCCCAGUCUCCCUGCCAUCGCCCCCCUCAUUCCCCUCACAGCGUUCAGGGCCUGGCCCCUGCUUAGCACCCCGCCCUGACUCCCCACCCAGAUGAAAAGUCCUCACAGGGGCCCCCAGGCUUCUUGAAGUUGGUGUCCCAAACAGAGUUCAGCCCCUGCCCCACGACUGCCUUCUCUCCAUGAAGCCCAUCUGGGUGAGGGAGCCCCCACCAACGGGAUCCUCAGCCCCCGGGCAGGGCUCCCCCCAACCAUGCACCACCAGUGCAUCCCAGCCCUGGAUCCACCACCAGAGACCCUAUGAUGCACUCCUUCCCGUCUUCAGCCUUGGGCUGCACACCGACCCCCAUCUUCACAAACCCCCAGGAGGCUGGGACACUUACGGGGACUCAGAGGCAACACGUGGGUGUGGCUGGAAUGAUGAGCAGUGUCCCAGAGCAUGGGGCGAACCAGGGCUCCCGAGCAGCCAGAGCAGGGCUGUUGUGGCAGGACGGCCAUAAAGGGGGUGAGGUGGGCACCCGACUGCAGCCCCUCCCCAUGUGCCCCAGAAGUCCCCAUGUCUCACUCCUCGGCUUGGCUGGCUGUCCCUCCUGCUGUGAGGUGGGUGCCUGUUCACUCAUUCACUCACUCAUUCGUUCACCAUGUAUUUAGUACCUGCUUGGUGCCAGGCCCUGGCUAGAUGACAGCUCGUCCUUGGAGGCCCAGCUCAGACGUCACCUCCUCCAUGAAGCCAUUCUCCAUCCCUAUCCCCUCCUGCAGCCCCCUGGCCUCACCUGGGGCCCGCAGUGCUGUGCUCAUACUUUGAGGACCCUCCAGCCUAUGUGCUCUGGGAGGCUCUGGACCAGAUGCAGAAAGGGCCUCAGAAAAACAUGAUGAUGGCAAAAACCCUGAGUAGAUGGAUUUCCCGCCGGCUGCGUGAGAGUCAGGCUCACCCCUUCCUCCCUCUGCUCACAGGCCUGGGGCGUCCAGGAUCUGGAGCGCCCUUUUCAUUCUUGUCAGAGCAGUGACUUUCCUCUUGUGAAGAAGGCUCGCUCCUUCCUCCUUCACUGCAGACACCUCUGUGAGCCUCCUGCCCUUCCUCCUUCAUGGUGGGUGGCCUCUUCCAAGUGUCACCUGAAUCUGGACUUUCACCCAUCCCUGUAUCCCCAAGAGUCUUAACUCAUUCCCGCAUCAUGACCUCUUGGAAGAAAACGUAGACAUAAAUCUUCAUGCCUUGCAUUAGGAAGCGGUUUCUUAGAUGUGACACCAAAAACAUAAGCUACAACAGCAACAAAAACAGUUAAAUUGGACGACACCAAAAUUAAAACCUUUUGUCCUACAAUGGACAUGAUCAAGAGAGUGAAGAGACAACCCAUAGAAUGGGAGAAACUAAUUAGAAAUCCUAUGUGAAAAGGAGGUUGUGUCUAUAAUAUAUAAAGGACACAGCUUGAUAAUAACACAAAUAACCCUAUUAAAAUGUUAACAAGGGAUCUUAGUAGACAUUUGUCCAAUAAAGAUGUACAAAUACCCAAUAGGCACAUGAAAAGAUGCUCAACAUCCUUAGUUAUUAGGGAAAUGCAAAUCCAAACCAAGUGAGACACCACUUCACACCCACUAGCGUGCCAUUCAUCAAAAAGAGAGGGAGUAACCAGUGCUGGUGAGGAUAUGGAGAAACAGGAACCUUCACACACUACUGGGGGGAAUCUAGAAUGGUUUAGCCUUGUUGGAAAACAGUCUGGCAGUUCCUCAAAAGGUUAAACAGACAGUUACGAGGUGACCCAGCAAUUCCACUCCUAGGUGUAUACCCAAGAGAAACGAGAACAUGCAUCCACGCAAAAACUUGUGCAUGAGUUUCCAUAGCAGCGUUAUUCCUAAUAACCAAAAAGUGAAAACAACUGGUGAAUAAACAAAUUGUUUGUACAAUGGAAUAUUAUCUGGACAUUCAAAGGAAUGAAGUGCUGAUGUGUAUUACACUGUGGAUGGACCUUGCAGACAUUCUGGUGAGUGAGGGCAGACAGACACAAAGGACCACAGACUGUAGGAGGCCGCGUGUGUGAAGUCUGGAGUAGAUGACUGUAGAGACGAAAAGCAGAUGAGUGGUCGUCGAGGCCGUGGGGGAGAGGCCAUGGGGGAAUGGGAGUCACUGCUCAAGGGGUGGGGUUCCUUUGUGGGGUGAUGACCAUGUUCUAAAAUUGAUCGUGGUGAUGGUUGCACAACUCUUAAGACCACUGAAUUGUACACAUUAAACGGUGAGUUGUAUAGCAUGAGAAUUAUAUCUCAAUAAAGUCCUUAGCAAAAAAA